CCCGCUUCUAUGCCUUUCGGCAUCGAUCAACUCUCUGCUGCACUUUAGUUUCUGUUCACUAUUGCACCGACGGGCGGGGCGACGAGUCGACGACAUCUCUGGUGAAAAUCUACAUUUUUUCUCCAUGUAAAGCUCUGGUCUGGACUCUGGAGGCUAGCCGCUGGUCCUCUUCUUCUUGGUCGAAAAGAUGUAAUAGCUCAUUAGAACCCGGAAGGCGAUGAGUUUUACACCUUGAUCGACGACUACACCUACUACUGCCGCCACUGCUUCGGCAGAGAUGGACCAUAGGUCAAUGAAUCCAUUUGACCCAGUUGGUCCUCCAGUCCUACUGGCACCGGCAUAUUCGACUUCUUCGGUGGUGCUACCUGUUAGCGCCCGACGUGCUCACUGGUGCCCCCGCACUCCAUACUAGAUGUCGCCAACGGGAUCCACAACCAAUGCCUCCGGUACACAGCUAGCCAAGAAAAACACCUGGGGACCUUGUCGGCAAUUGAAGACGGCGAAGGUCACCCGGGUGACCAAUGAUCGUAUCACAAUCGGAUAUGAUGAGCGACAUCAGACAACACCAACGACGGAGUAGCAUAGAGCAUUGGGCCAUGACAUUGGGCACGUCGUGCGGACCUUUUGCCCUAUGCAGUGGAAGUCUUGGAAGGCGAUGCUAGAGAAGGUGAAGAACACGGUGUGCAAUAAUUUGUUAACAAACUACAAUUUGGAUGACAUCAACGAGGACAUGUUGACGUACCUCAAUCGGCUAUACUCCGAACGCUACAAGUUGUGGAAGAGUGACUUGCACCAGUAUUUCGAGAUGUUUAGUGAUCCGCAGGUCGCUCUCGAGGAGGGUUGCCCGAACGAGCUUGAAGACCGACAAGAUAAUUGGGAUUGACUUUGCGGUCAUUUUCAGGAGCCGGGCUAUGUGAAGAAGGCGAAGGCGAACAAGGGCAAUCGGGAGAAGAAGACUCUUUUCCACCAUUCGGGUUUAAGGCCUUUCUCAUAUAGGAUGUAGGCGUGGCAGAAGGAGGGUUCAAAUUUCCCGGAGAUCGAUGUCUUUGCUAACGUUUAUGUUCGGCCUGGGAUGAGUUGACCGAGUUACUUCUUGCAAGCGACUAUGGUGGAGAAGGGUUAGUUGCUUCAGGAGUUCGCCUCCCAGCUUCCCUAGGACACGCCAAUCGAUCUGUGGAUCCCUCUGAAGAUGCGGGGUUUCACAUCCUUACAGAGACGUUCAACCACACUUUUGGUCGGACGCAAGGGACAUAUUGUCGGGGGUUGGGAAAUGCCAGGUGGAGGGAGAGUAGAGCAUCUUCAUCCUUGCAAUCGAAGGGCGAGGUUAUGGCUUUAACGCAGGAAGUCGCUAGCAUGAGGAGUGAGCUUGCAUCGUACAUGUCUUAAAUGUGAAUGCUUGUACAAGCCCUUAGUUCCUCCGGGAUCCGUCUCCCCAGUUUUUUUGCACCACGACCGUCAGAGCCCCUCCACACCGUGCAUACACAGCAAUCAGGCCCGUCGACCUUCGACCCCGUCCCUAACCCCACCUUCUUCUAGCAGCAAGAUUACCAAGCACCUCUAAAUGACUUGCGUAUAGACUAUUCCUUAUUUUUUUCAUAGUUUUUGUUCCCUCUUUCUUUUUAAACUUUG